rnacentral:piRNA from 1 species
UGGGAUGAGAAGUCUGGAGGGCACGG